rnacentral:rRNA from 1 species
GAUCAUGGGCUCAGGAUGAACGCUAGCGACAGGCUUAACACAUGCAAGUCGAGGGGCAGCGAGGGAGUGGCAACACUUCUGUCGGCGACCGGCGCACGGGUGAGUAACGCGUAUGCAACCUGCCCUUCACAGGGGGAUAACCGGGAGAAAUUCCGACUAAUACCGCAUACGUCCUUUGGGGGCAUCCCCGGGGGAUGAAAGAAUUAUCGGUGAAGGAUGGGCAUGCGUGAUAUUAGGUAGUUGGCGGGG